rnacentral:rRNA from 1 species
AGUGAACGCUGGCGGUAGGCCUAACACAUGCAAGUCGAACGGCAGCACAGUAAGAGCUUGCUCUUACGGGUGGCGAGUGGCGGACGGGUGAGGAAUACAUCAGAAUCUACUUUUUCGUGGGGGAUAACGUAGGGAAACUUACGCUAAUACCGCAUACGACCUACGGGUGAAAGCAGGGGAUCUUCGGACCUUGCGCGAUUGAAUGAGCCGAUGUCGGAUUAGCUAGUUGGCGGGGUAAAGGCCCACCAAGGCGACGAUCCGUAGCUGGUCUGAGAGGAUGAUCAGCCACACUGGAACUGAGACACGGUCCAGACUCCUAUGGGAGGCAGCAGUGGGGAAUAUUGGACAAUGGGCGCAAGCCUGAUCCAGCCAUACCGCGUGGGUGAAGAAGGCCUUCGGGUUGUAAAGCCCUUUUGUUGGGAAAGAAAAGCAGCAGGUUAAUACCCCGCUGUUCUGACGGUACCCAAAGAAUAAGCACCGGCUAACUUCGUG